AAGAGGCCCCUGUGCAACCUUCUUUUUAUAACAGGCACAAUAUGAGCAGCAUCUCUGCCAAUGUGCCUCAGACCUGAACUGGAGGGACCACAUCCAGUAGUGACAGAAAAGCUCUGCCUCCAUGCCCUGUUCAGUUCUUGGCCUUU
rnacentral:sRNA from 1 species